rnacentral:rRNA from 1 species
CGCAUCUGUGCAUGCAGCAUAUCAAUAAGCGGAGGAAAAGAAACUAACAAGGAUUCCCUCAGUAACGGCGAGUGAAGCGGGAAGAGCUCAAAUUUGAAAUCUUGAAAGGUCACCUUUCACGAAUUGUAGUUUAAAGAAGUGUUUUCUGUUACGAUCGUAAUAUAAGUUCUUUGGAAUAGGACAUCACAGAGGGUGAGAAUCCCGUCUAUGAUUGCGAUUUGUAGCUUUGUGAUACACUUUCAAAGAGUCGGGUUGUUUGGGAAUGCAGCCCGAAACGGGAGGUAAAUUUCUUCUAAGGCUAAAUAUUGGCGAGAGACCGAUAGCGAACAAGUACCGUGAGGGAAAGAUGAAAAGAACUUUGAAAAGAGAGUUAAAUAGUACGUGAAAUUGUCAAAAGGGAAGCGUUUAACACCAGUGUUGUUUUCUGAAAAUCAACCUCUGUUAGCUUUAUGCAUGUUUGUUUAGACCUAAUCAGCUAUCUUGCAUGUUCUAUUGUUUGCAGUGGUGCACUUUUCAGUUUACAGGUCAACAUCAGUUUUUUUUACCGUAAAAAAGUUAAAGAAAGGUAGCUCAUGGCUCCGGUCGUGAGUGUUAUAGUCUUUUUCCUAUGCGGUAGGAGAGACUGAGGUCUGCAGUGUAGGCUAUUUGGCUAGAUACUCAGGUGCUAUGUGAUACCAUUUCAUAAACAACUUGUUGAUUAUGUUUUGUCUAUUGCAUACUCGCUUGUACUAUCAUACCUACGCUUAGGAUGUUGACGAUCAGCUGAGCGCG